rnacentral:rRNA from 1 species
UACGUAGGAGACGAGCGUUGUCCGGAAUUACUGGGUGUAAAGCGCGUGUAGGCGGAUGAGCAAGUCUGCUGUGAAAGCUCCUGGCUUAACCGGGAGUGGUCGGUGGAAACUGCUCGUCUGGAGGACGGUAGAGGUAGGUAGAAUUCCCGGUGUAGUGGUGAAAUGCGUAGAGAUCGGGAGGAAUACCUGUGGCGAAGGCGGCCUACUGGGCCGGACCUGACGCUGAGACGCGAAGGCGUGGGGAGCGAACGGG